CGUUUUUUGUUAUAAUAAAAAAUAAGGCCUGCUCUAUGAGAGGGUUUAAUGGCCGCAGUAUAUUGACUGUGCAAAGGUAGCGUAAUAAUUAGUCUUUUAAUUGAGGUCCAGUAUGAAUGGCUACAUGGGGGGAAUCUUUCUUACUUUCAAGAAAAUUGAAUUUCUUAUCAAAGUGAGGAAACUUUGGUGGGUCUAAAAGACAAGAAGACCCUAUCAAGCUUUACUUUAGAGUUUAAGCGUAAAGUUGGAGGAAAGUUUAAUUAAAAAGUUUCGUUGGGGCAAUGUUAAUGAUUUAAUAUUAAGGUAAGUUGAUUACUUGCAAAUUUUUUGGUCCAGAAUUUCUGUUUUGUAGAAUAAGUUACUGUAGGGAUAACAGCGUAAUUUCUUUGGAGAGUUCAUAUCGAUAGAGGAGUUUGCGACCUCGAUGUUGAAUUAAAGUACCUUAAGGGCGCAAGAGUUUUUAAAGGUAGUCUGUUCGACUAUUAAAUCUUUACA
rnacentral:rRNA from 1 species